rnacentral:rRNA from 1 species
UACGUAGGCAGCGAGCGUUUGUUCGGAGUUACUGGGCGUAAAGGGUGUGUAGGCGGUUGUUUAAGUUUGGUGUGAAAUCUCCCGGCUCAACUGGGAGGGUGCGCCGAAUACUGAAUGACUUGGAGUGCGGGAGAGGAAAGUGGAAUUCCUGGUGUAGCGGUGAAAUGCGUAGAUAUCAGGAGGAACACCGGUGGUGUAGACG